GAUGAACGCUGGCGGCGUGCCUAAUACAUGCAAGUCGAGCGAACAGACGAGGAGCUUGCUCCUCUGACGUUAGCGGCGGACGGGUGAGUAACACGUGGAUAACCUACCUAUAAGACUGGGAUAACUUCGGGAAACCGGAGCUAAUACCGGAUAAUAUAUUGAACCGCAUGGUUCAAUAGUGAAAGACGGUUUUGCUGUCACUUAUAGAUGGAUCCGCGCCGCAUUAGCUAGUUGGUAAGGUAACGGCUUACCAAGGCAACGAUGCGUAGCCGACCUGAGAGGGUGAUCGGCCACACUGGAACUGAGACACGGUCCAGACUCCUACGGGAGGCAGCAGUAGGGAAUCUUCCGCAAUGGGCGAAAGCCUGACGGAGCAACGACGCGUGAGUGAUGAAGGUCUUCGGAUCGUAAAGCUCUGUUAUUAGGGAAGAACAAAUGUGUAAGUAACUAUGCACGUCUUGACGGUACCUAAUCAGAAAGCCACGGCUAACUACGUG
rnacentral:rRNA from 1 species